ACUGUGAUAUAAUAUAUUUAUGAUGUCACUUUCUAAAAAACUAACAUAACUAUUAUUUCAUUUUAAUGUCAGUUUCUCUUAAAGUGUGAUAUAAUAUAUUUAUGAUGUCACUUUUGAUAAAACUGACAUAACUAUUAUUUCUUUUUAAUGUCAGUUUCUCCUAAAGUGUGAUCUAAUAUAUUUAUGAUGUCAAUUUCUAAAAAAUUGACAUAACUAUUAUGAUUUUUAAUGUCAAUUUUUCCUAAAGUGUGAUCUAAUAUAUUUAAUGACGGUUUCCUUAUAAACCGUGAUGUUUGUAUUCUUAUUAUGAUGGUCAUAAAAAAAAAACUGUGAUAACAAUUGCUUUUUUCAAUGUCACUUUUCUUUGUAACCGAGAUUAAAAGGGAGUAACUGGAACUUCAAAAACCCACGAUCCCUCGUUACUUCAUUAUUCGCGCUUGCUCUUAAAAGACCCACGAUCCCCUCCCUCCCUCCCUCUCUUUCUCUCUCUUUCUCGCACUCACCGGCCUCUUGAUCUCCUCUCACAUGACCUUCUCACAGUGAUUCGUACAUUUGCCCCACUGCCCUGUUCGACAACUCUACCUUUCUUCCACAGGUUUGUUCAACUCCUCUCUUUGUACAUUUGUUUAUUUACCGAUCUAAAACCCCAUUGCAAUCAAAAAACCACCAUUUCUAAACCCUAAAUUGCUGGAUCAAAAAAAAGGGUUAUAUCCGUGCUUUGAAAAAUAAAAUGAGCAGUAAAGCUAGGGUUUUGUUACGGAACAGAGUUCGAAAGUUGAUUGAGGGCAAUCUUCUCAUGCUAAGGUAUGCCUCGAUUUUUUUGGAUUCCAGUGAAUGCCAUUAGCUUCUCACCUUAGUAGUCUUUUCAUUACCAUUACCACCACUGUAGUCAGUAAGUUUUUUCCCUUUUUAAACUUCUCUGUUCAAUUCUCACAACUUUUUGUCUAAUUUUUUCGUUCUUGGAUUUAUGGGUGCUAUUUACAUGGUUCCAAAUUUGUUUCAGUGUUGAUUGAGUUGUUCGCAGAGGUCUCGUCAAUUGUCAAGAUCAAUCAUGUAGAGAGUCUAUCAAUAAGCUUGUCUCAGACUUGAACAGCGCAACGUUGGAGCCUGAUGUUGGGAAACUGGGGCAACAUAGUAUCCAGGAACAUGCUGUAGGAGCAAUGCACUUUGAGGAUAUAUAUUAUAUAUGCCGAGCAAUGCAAACUUUUGGGUUGAAGAAAGCUGGAAUAAGUGAAUAGUUAUAGGGGUAAUUUAUUUGUAUUGUGUACUUUUCGGGUUGAAAGAUACAUAAGAAUUAUGUACUUGAGC